UCUGCUCCUGGCACCUGGAAAGUGUGGAAGAAGUAGCUUCUUCAGCCCUUCUCUCAAGUCUGGACCUGAGCUUCCUGAAUUGUGUUGCUGUCUCUCUAGCUACCAGUACUGUGGCCUUUGCAGUCUUUGGAAUCAAGCUCCACUCAGCCCAGUGCCUCUGUACCAUGUGAAAGAUUUCUUUUUUUCCUUGUGAGAAAUUUCUUUCUUUCUUUCUUUCUUUCUUUCUUUCUUUCUUUCUUUCUUUCUUUCUUUCUUUCUUUCUUUCUUUCUUUCUUUUGAGACAGGGUUUCUCUGUGUAGCUCUGGCUGUCCUGGAACUCACUUUGUAGACCAGGCUGGCCUCGAACUCAGAAAUCCGCCUGUCUCUGCCUCCCAAGUGCUGGGAUUAAAGGCGUGGGCCACCACCGCCCCGCAUGAGAAAUUUCUUAAUCUUGUAAAGUCUCUUCCCUCAUAACUGAUACAGAAAUAAUAAACCUACCUUACAGAAGGGUUGUUAGAAUGAGACUUAAGGCAGGGUGUAGUGGAAUUAAAAGCAUUUAAUUCCAGCACUAAGGAAAUAGACAGGUGCAUCUCUCCAAGUUUUAGGCCUGUUAGGGCUACAAAUGGGACCCUGUCUCAAAAAACUAAAGGGGGAUUGGGGUCUAUGUUGGUGCAUAAAUAGUUCAUUUAGGACUUUGAGCCUCGAAUGGAGACUAACCAGAGGAGAGGAGGGAACAAGAAAGGGUAAUGGUGGGGAGAUAGACAGAUUGUAUGUUGUCUCUUGUGUAGAAUCUAGACUAUACAUAACAAUCGAGGUGAUGCUUGGGUGAUAGCUCAGUGAGUUAAGUGCUUGACCCAUAAGCUUAAGGGCCCAGUUUGUAUCCCCGAAACCUUCACAUAAAAACCUGGAUAUGAUGUGUCAUGUGCCUGUGUUCCUAGCCCUCCUGGGAGGUGAAGGCAGGAGGAUCUCUGGGCUCAUUGGCCAGUCUGCCCAGUUGUGACCUUCAGCUUCAGUGACAAUCCUGCACAGAGGAGGACACCAGGCUGUCCUCUUGUCUCCAUACGUGUAUAACACACAGGAGUAAAGCAGAAGAGGGCAAGAGGAUAAUGGAGGGGGGUGAAUAUGAGCAGUGUAUAAAGAUGUGUGUGUACAAACAUGGUAUAAAUAAAACCCUUUGUCUAGGGUCAUUGAGGGUGGCAUAAAGGCACUUGUCACCAAUCCUGGCAACUUUAGUUCAACCCUUUGGACCCACGUGGGGGAUGAACAGAACCGAAUCCCGUGUGUUGUCUUCUGACCUUCACACGUGUGCUAUGGUAUAUGUAUCUCCACACUCAGACACAACACAUAUACAUUAAGUAAAUAAUUGUAAAAAUAAUUAUUUUUAGAAAAUGUAAAAACCUACUGUUCACUAAUAAAUUUUAAUU
rnacentral:lncRNA from 1 species